rnacentral:lncRNA from 1 species
GUCCGUUUAAGUGGAUACGGCUCCAGCGGAUCCGCUUCCACCGCGCAGAAGGGUACUCCGCGAAGGCGCCUUCGACGUCGCCCUAUCGCCCGCGUGGCUGAGUUGCUGGGCCGGCCCAGUGGCGCCCUGCCGUUAAGCCUCGCCCCGUACAUGCUGUUGCUGCCCAAAUCCAGCCCGUUUGGGUAAAAUCCUUUCUCUUUUCUUUUCUGUACAAUUUGUAAAAUCCAUAGAUAAUUCAAAUUAACUCCAAAUUUGAUGAUUCAAAUUUCUAGUAGCUCAUAAACUCAUGAUCUAUCUCAUGGAACAACUUUCACAUUUUUCCAGGAACUUUAUCUUCACACACAUUUAUCAAAACCCCAUUUCCAUUUCUGUGAUGAACUUUAGAAAAUCACAGAGAGCUUAAAUUUGAUCCAAAUUCCAUGAUUCAAGUUUUUAGAUACAUCUAAUUUCAUAACUUAGGUUAUGAACAUUUUUCUUAAUACUUUUGGUACCCCACAAAAUAAUGAGCCAUUUCUCCAUGUUUGUCAACUUUGCAAAUCCGUAGAAUAUUCAUUUGAACUCCAAAUCCAGUGAAACCAAAUCAUAGAUAAUUCUAAAAUCAUCCUUUGUUAAAUGGGUGCCUUUUCUCAUUUUUCAAAAAUAUAUUUCUCUACACUUCUUUCAAAUCCAUAAACCCAUUGAUUCCAUCAUAUCAAAAUGUUUAGAAAUAUCCACUGACCCAAUUCCAAUGAAACCACUCUGGUUAUUUUUCAUAUAACCAGAGAUGUCCUAGGAAAGUCAAAUUAAUAUUUUUAGAGCACUUUUAUUUCCUGCCUUGUUGUGUUGCUUAUUAUGGUUGCUUUCAACGAUAGUUGGCGAAGUAGACGAAAUGCUUGGAGUUGGACCAGAGAUAUUUGAAGACCUCGAAGACUUUGUUAAAACAGGCAAGCAGCCCUUUGACCAUGAUGAACCAUUUUACAUCAUAAUAGCAUUUUCGUUGCUUCACUGAGUGCAUGAUAUACCUUGAGUGGCAACCUUGCUAGGCUUGCCUACGUUGCAUACUCCAUUGAUACUUGCAUUGUUCAUGACUCUACCCUUGCUUAGAGUUGUGUUGGUGGGUUGUAGAAAUAUGCUAUAGUAGAUGGCUACGCAAAGUUGGUCAGGGUUAUGCAUGGAAAGAAACAAGUGUGGUUUGACAUACUUGCAAACAGCCCUAGUGGGUGCCACUGAUGCCCCUGGGAGAUGAUGAUGAACUAGGUCACUACUUGGUGGAGAAGUAGUGUACCGAGGCUUGAUAAAAGUGUUGUUUACAGAGACGGAUUAGAUUUAAGAUUUGUCGACUGUCCCAACCUUACAUGCGCAACCACUCUACCCUUAUAUGGGAAAGGGCAUUAUUGAUUACCUAGGCCGAUACUAGCUUGGAGCCCGCAUUACUAGUGACGGGAGAGUCGUUGUUGCGCUCUCUCGCGACGGGGUCGUGCCAGGUAGGGCAGCCAUGACUGUUUUCACAGGGCACCGGACACACCGUUGGUACCCCAUGCUUGUGGUAUGUGAUGAAUAUGGGAGCGAGGCUCCACAAUUUUAAGAUGUGAAAUGUUGGGCAAGGGGGUUACUACCAAUCGAGUGUACUCUAUGUUAGUGUCGUCUAGGGAAAGAUAGUGAUCGGGUGCUUACCCCGGGUACUUGAGGUACCGCGGGUCGUGGAUGACACGGAAGUUCCCCGGAUCUUGUGGGUAAAGUGUGCAACCUCUGCAGAGUGUAAAACUAUUCGAAUAGCCGUGUCCACGGUCAAGGACAGUUGGGUGGUGCUGCUUAGACUAUGUCCAUAUGUUUCUGGAAAACAACACGGUUUGGUAAAUCUAUUGACGUGAUUCAUGAGGAAGUCACGAUGAGCUUGAGCAUGAGUUGUUCAUAACUCUCUCUCGAUGUUGAUGUCUGUAACCCCCUGAUACUUGUUGCAGACGCAUUCAUAUCCUUGAUAAAUGGUGAUCAUACUUGCAUGAGAAAAACUAGCUUUCCGCAAAAAUGCCAAUUUAGCAGUAAUGCCUUGCAUAAUUAUUCUGUUAUCACCCUUGGUUUGCUUGCGAGUACAUUCAAAGUACUCAUUGGCUUUCCACUGGUUAUUUUAUUGGCCAGGCAUGAAAGAACAGGAUAUGAUGAAGAAUACUUCGUGACGAACAUGCGAGCUAGGACGCUUCCCAGUCAGAAUGCCUGAAGAUUUCCGCUGCGAUGUUAUACUCAAGACUUGACCAUAAUGGUCCUACUUGUGUAAUAUGGUAUGUAUGGAUGUAAGACUCUUGUUAUUCAGCUUCUGUGUGUUCAGUGAGCCUUGAUCUCUGGGAUCACUGUACACGUGCAUUCGGUGAUCACGACUUAUGAGUCGGGGUCCCCACACUGGAAGAUUUUGAACACAAGGAUCGUGUCCGGCCCUGCAAAAAAAAUUCCAUAUACCACCGUAGAGAGUAUAAUAUUCCACAAAUCUAAUCUGCUGACAAG